rnacentral:rRNA from 1 species
UACGGGGGGAGCAAACGUUGUUCGGAAUCACUGGGCGUAAAGGGCGUGUAGGCGGCUGGAUAAGUGGGAUGUUAAAUCCCCCGGCUCAACCGGGGACCUGCAUCUCAUACUGUUCAGCUCGAGCACAUCAGAGGAGACUGGAAUUCCCGGUGUAGCGGUGAAAUGCGCAGAUAUCGGGAGGAACACCAAUUGCGAAGGCAGCUCGCUGGGACGUUACUGACGCUGAGACGCGAAAGCGUGGGGAGCAAACAGG